CUCAUGAAAACCUAUUUUAUUAUUAAGAAAAGUUUGAUCGAAGUUGCGCGAACGCAUACUCUGAAUUGAUUUUUAAAAUCGUGAUCAUAUUACGCGAACGUAUACACAAUCACAAAUAAUAAGAUUGGUGCGCCUGAUUUAGUUAUUAGAAAUAGUUCAAUUCAAUCGUCCGCACAAACAUAUAAAAUAGACAACCAAGAAAAGAAGAGCAAAGAUAAUUCACUGAUUGUCCAUCAACUUUCAAGCAAAGGCCAAUUUACCCAUCACUCUUAAUGAGGAAAAAUAAGCUUUUGAAUACAUUCUGCACAUGGAAUUAUAGUACAAGUAUGGGAAGGGAUAAAGUCUUGCCCAAUGCAUUUUCCGAAAUAGUCAAGCAGCAGGUUCUCACCAUAACAAUACCACGACAAGAAAGGAAUUCUCUUUACUCAAAGUAUAUUGGUAUACUGACCCAAGGAUUCACAGUAAGUCUCAAAUGCAUUCACUUAUUGAAAUAAAUAUGAUGCCUCACUAAAGAUAAAGAAGGGAUAAUGUUGUACCAGGGAAUUCCAAACUAGUAGUUUAUUAGGCGUGUUCUCUUUCUUUCAACUCUUUACAAAACAUCCUUUUGGCUCCAACAUUUAACAACAAAGGCUGAUGAGCACGAUUGUAGCAGUUUUAUAUCUAGUUCUACUCACAUGAAUAACACUAAAUUAUCAGAAGGAAUGAAGCACGAAGAGUUCAAUAGAGAAACUGGUCAACUUCAACAUCACCAGCUGGACAUAGAAUUUUGAAUCUAGUGAGAAUCAAGUCUCCUUGGUACAAAAACUAACUCAACUUAACAGAAGAAAUUGAACUAAACAACGAAAUUACAAAGAAUCUAGCAUAGGUAUCAGUAUAUAAUCAAUAUCAAGAAAACCUCCAAUGAAUUGAUUACCAUUAAGGUGUUUGAACAAAUCAAAUUGAAGUCAGCCUUAACACAAACAUCGACCAGGUAUGAGCUGAAUUUUCAAGCAGAAGCAUCAUGGUUAACAGUGAAGGACAUUCUGGGCCAAUUACGCAUUCCCAGUACAGCUAAUGGUUCCCUGAACCAUUAACCUGGACCUGAGCCUUAUGGCUCAUGCUCUGAGUAUAGUAGAAUAAGAAUACAAAUGGCUGGAAUGGAUCCUCAAGUCAGUUACACACUCACAGCUUGCACACAACAAACAGGGAAUACGGAAAACAAUCAAUGGAUACCAAGUUCCUAACUUAAAGUUCUCAUAAUUUCGAAUGCAAAACAGAGCAAGAGAGUAGGACAGAUUCGGCCUUAUGAUCUCAAAGGAUCCCCAUGAACUAGAUAUUUCAUUUACACCUGAAUUCUAAGGGUCUCCACCCUAUAUCAAUUACUUGCACCUAAUCACUACAAAUCAGACAGAAAACACCCUUACAAUGAGAGAAAAACAAAGAUCGAUGCGAAUAGUUCAGUCUUCAUGCUCAAAAUGUUAGGGUCAAAACAGAACAACCAAAGAUACAGAAUAAGAAAUUCGUAAAUAACAGUUGGAACGCUUAAAGUAAAUUUUAGAAUAGGAAUGUUAAUCGACUACUUGCAGACGAUUUGAGGUGCACGUUGGCUUAUGAUAUGCAUAAGAUCUAGAAAAGCUAGAAGCACAAUCACAUGACCAAACAACACUGAAUGAGCAGUAAACAUUACGAGGCAGAUCAACACACACAGUCAUUUGUUCCAACAGAUUCUGAGAUUAGAGUACCAGAUAAACUUUCCUUUGCGCACAUACAAAAUCAUAGAAGAGGCUAAUACAAACAAUUGAAAUAACUACAUAAAUCUCAGUUAUUCUUUCAAACUUCAACCCAUUUUGUAGCUCACAGAGCCCAAUUUACAAUGGGAAAUAAAAUGAAGAAGAGAAAAGAACUUGGAAUUAAGAAACAGAAUUAGUACAACCUUGAAAUCGACCAAGAGGAAGCAAAUAGCAACUAAAAUCAACCCCUAAGCAGAAACAGACUCACAUUUUUCAAGCGACAUCUAUUUUACCCCAAAAUCAAGAAAUGUAAUGAAAAAUGAACUCUAGAGGUUUCGAAAAAGACUAUAAACAGUAAUCAACAAGAAAAUUCAAAUAACAGCCCCCUCAGUGAUUUUUGUUUUUCCAAUAUCAAAAUCGAAAGAACAAAUAAAAUCGAAAAAAAUAUCUCAAAUUCAUUUUUGAAAAAUCUCUCCCACUCUGAAAUUUUUUUCUCUCUCCCUUUUCGAAAUAGGAACUGGCCCUAUCUGAAGCGAAUCCCUGAUGAAUGUGGAGGCUUGGAUUGAAUGAGAUAAAUCCAACGCUUCACACUCAUCCAUCACAUACGCCUCUAGAACCUUCUAAUUGUGAUAUAUAUCUAAAUCGAGCAAGUGAGAGGGGAGAUAAUCUCCCGUCCGAAACCGUUAGAAUAAUGAGAGGAGGGAUGGGGGGAACACGUGGGUUAGAGAUUUGGGACUCACUUGCCUGAAUUUGAACAGAAUUUGGGGCUUGGUUCGCGUGUUCUUUGGAUAAGAAGAAUAGUACAUGCCUGAGUUGGGAUAUUAGGGCUUUUGUUCGUUUAUGUUAUGAAUUAGGCGACUACGCGGGUUAUGACUAAGUGGGUUGGGCAUCAGGUGGGUUAAGAAGGCAUUAGGAUUGGGGUUUUGAGUUAAAAUGGCACAAAUUCCUAAUUCUCUUUGUUUUCCUCUUUUGUUUUCUUUUUCUUUUCUCUUUUU
rnacentral:lncRNA from 1 species